rnacentral:sRNA from 1 species
CCCUAGCCCCGAUAGCAGUGGAAAUCCUACUGAGCCGGUCCCGAAGCUUCGGGACGGCGAUGUAGAUUGUAGCGAAUAGCGGGAAAUAGC